UGGGAAGUAUUGCACAAUGGGCGAAAGCCUGAUGCAGCAACGCCGCGUGAGCGAUGAAGGCCUUCAGGUCGUAAAGCUCUGUCCUCAAGGAAGAUAAUGACGGUACUUGAGGAGGAAGCCCCGGCUAACUACGUGCCAGCAGCCGCGGUAAUACGUAGGGGCGGCUAGCGUUAUCCGGAAUUACUGGGCGUAAAGGGUGCGUAGGUGGUUUCUUAAGUCAGAGGUGAAAGGCUACGGCUCAACCGUAGUAAGCCUUUGAAACUGGGAACUUGAGUGCAGGAGAGGAGAGUGGAAUUCCUAGUGUAGCGGUGAAAUGCGUAGAUAUUAGGAGGAACACCAGUUGCGAAGGCGGCUCUCUGGACUGUAACUGACACUGAGGCACGAAAGCGUGGGAGCAAACAGAUAGAUACC
rnacentral:rRNA from 1 species